UACAGAGGGGGCCAGCGUUAUUCGGAAUUAUUGGGCGUAAAGGGCGCGUAGGCUGCUUUGCGUGUCUUUCGUGAAAUCCCUCGGCUCAACUGAGGACGUGCGGAAGAAACUGCAGGGCUGGAGUCCGGGAGAGGAGGGUGGAAUUCCCAGUGUAGCGGUGAAAUGCGUAGAUAUUGGGAGGAACACCGGUGGCGAAGGCGGCCCUCUGGACCGGUACUGACGCUGAUGCGACGAAAGCGUGGGGGAGCAAACGGG
rnacentral:rRNA from 1 species